rnacentral:rRNA from 1 species
AGAGUUUGAUCAUGGCUCAGAUUGAACGCUGGCGGCAGGCCUAACACAUGCAAGUCGAACGGUAACAGGAAGAAGCUUGCUUCUUUGCUGACGAGUGGCGGACGGGUGAGUAAUGUCUGGGAAACUGCCUGAUGGAGGGGGAUAACUACUGGAAACGGUAGCUAAUACCGCAUAACGUCGCAAGACCAAAGAGGGGGACCUUCGGGCCUCUUGCCAUCGGAUGUGCCCAGAUGGGAUUAGCUUGUUGGUGGGGUAACGGCUCACCAAGGCGACGAUCCCUAGCUGGUCUGAGAGGAUGACCAGCCACACUGGAACUGAGACACGGUCCAGACUCCUACGGGAGGCAGCAGUGGGGAAUAUUGCACAAUGGGCGCAAGCCUGAUGCAGCCAUGCCGCGUGUAUGAAGAAGGCCUUCGGGUUGUAAAGUACUUUCAGCGGGGAGGAAGGGAGUAAAGUUAAUACCUUUGCUCAUUGACGUUACCCGCAGAAGAAGCACCGGCUAACUCCGUGCCAGCAGCCGCGGUAAUACGGAGGGUGCAAGCGUUAAUCGGAAUUACUGGGCGUAAAGCGCACGCAGGCGGUUUGUUAAGUCAGAUGUGAAAUCCCCGGGCUCAACCUGGGAACUGCAUCUGAUACUGGCAAGCUUGAGUCUCGUAGAGGGGGGUAGAAUUCCAGGUGUAGCGGUGAAAUGCGUAGAGAUCUGGAGGAAUACCGGUGGCGAAGGCGGCCCCCUGGACGAAGACUGACGCUCAGGUGCGAAAGCGUGGGGAGCAAACAGGAUUAGAUACCCUGGUAGUCCACGCCGUAAACGAUGUCGACUUGGAGGUUGUGCCCUUGAGGCGUGGCUUCCGGAGCUAACGCGUUAAGUCGACCGCCUGGGGAGUACGGCCGCAAGGUUAAAACUCAAAUGAAUUGACGGGGGCCCGCACAAGCGGUGGAGCAUGUGGUUUAAUUCGAUGCAACGCGAAGAACCUUACCUGGUCUUGACAUCCACAGAACUUUCCAGAGAUGGAUUGGUGCCUUCGGGAACUGUGAGACAGGUGCUGCAUGGCUGUCGUCAGCUCGUGUUGUGAAAUGUUGGGUUAAGUCCCGCAACGAGCGUAACCCUUAUCCUUUGUUGCCAGCGGUCCGGCCGGGAACUCAAAGGAGACUGCCAGUGAUAAACUGGAGGAAGGUGGGGAUGACGUCAAGUCAUCAUGGCCCUUACGACCAGGGCUACACACGUGCUACAAUGGCGCAUACAAAGAGAAGCGACCUCGCGAGAGCAAGCGGACCUCAUAAAGUGCGUCGUAGUCCGGAUUGGAGUCUGCAACUCGACUCCAUGAAGUCGGAAUCGCUAGUAAUCGUGGAUCAGAAUGCCACGGUGAAUACGUUCCCGGGCCUUGUACACACCGCCCGUCACACCAUGGGAGUGGGUUGCAAAAGAAGUAGGUAGCUUAACCUUCGGGAGGGCGCUUACCACUUUGUGAUUCAUGACUGGGGUGAAGUCGUAACAAGGUAACCGUAGGGGAACCUGCGGUUGGAUCACCU